rnacentral:tRNA from 1 species
GUAAAAAUGCCAGAGGUGUAUGGUUUUGGUUUAGGACCAAAGUACGGCUUAUAUAAAGCCUUUUUACU